rnacentral:rRNA from 1 species
AACAGGAUUAGAUACCCUGGUAGUCCACGCCGUAAACGAUGUCGACUUGGAGGUUGUGCCCUUGAGGCGUGGCUUCCGGAGCUAACGCGUUAAGUCGACCGCCUGGGGAGUACGGCCGCAAGGUUAAAACUCAAAUGAAUUGACGGGGGCCCGCACAAGCGGUGGAGCAUGUGGUUUAAUUCGACGCAACGCGAAGAACCUUACCUACUCUUGACAUCCAGAGAACUUUCCAGAGAUGGAUUGGUGCCUUCGGGAACUCUGAGACAGGUGCUGCAUGGCUGUCGUCAGCUCGUGUUGUGAAAUGUUGGGUUAAGUCCCGCAACGAGCGCAACCCUUAUCCUUUGUUGCCAGCGAUUCGGUCGGGAACUCAAAGGAGACUGCCAGUGAUAAACUGGAGGAAGGUGGGGAUGACGUCAAGUCAUCAUGGCCCUUACGAGUAGGGCUACACACGUGCUACAAUGGCAUAUACAAAGAGAAGCGACCUCGCGAGAGCAAGCGGACCUCAUAAAGUAUGUCGUAGUCCGGAUUGGAGUCUGCAACUCGACUCCAUGAAGUCGGAAUCGCUAGUAAUCGUGGAUCAGAAUGCCACGGUGAAUACGUUCCCGGGCCUUGUACACACCGCCCGUCACACCAUGGGAGUGGGUUGCAAAAGAAGUAGGUAGCUUAACCUUCGGGAGGGCGCUUACCACUUUGUGAUUCAUGACUGGGGUGAAGUCGUAACAAGGUAACC